rnacentral:rRNA from 1 species
GUCUAUGGCUAUGCCACCCUGAAUGUGCCCAAUCUUGUCUGAUCUUGGAAGCUAAGCAGGGUCGGGCCUGGUUAGUACUUGGAUGGGAGACCACCUAGGAAUAACAGGUGCCAUAGGUA